rnacentral:rRNA from 1 species
GACGAACGCUGGCGGCGUGCUUAACACAUGCAAGUCGAGCGAGAAAGCGGCUUCGGCCGUGAGUACAGCGGCGAACGGGUGAGUAACACGUGGGCAACCUGCCCCAGAGAUUGGGAUAACGUCCCGAAAGGGACGCUAAUACCGAAUAACGCGUGACCUGCCAAGUGGGUCACGCCAAAUGGUAGCCUCGGCCUCUGCUCUGGGAUGGGCCCGCGCCGGAUUAGCUUGUUGGUGGGGUAACGGCCUACCAAGGCGACGAUCCGUAGCUGGUCUGAGAGGACGAUCAGCCACACUGGGACUGAGACACGGCCCAGACUCCUACGGGAGGCAGCAGUGGGGAAGCUUGCGCAAUGGGCGAAAGCCUGACGCAGCAACGCCGCGUGAGCGAAGACGGCCUUCGGGUUGUAAAGCUCUGUCAGGAGGGACGAAGCCACUCGGGUGAAUAGCCCAGAGGGUGACGGUACCUCCAGAGGAAGCCCCGGCUAACUACGUGCCAGCCGCCGCAGUAA